rnacentral:rRNA from 1 species
CCUACGGGAGGCAGCAGUAGGGAAUAUUGCUCAAUGGGGGAAACCCUGAAGCAGCAACGCCGCGUGGAGGAUGAAGGUUUUCGGAUUGUAAACUCCUUUUGUUAGAGAAGAUAAUGACGGUAUCUAACGAAUAAGCACCGGCUAACUCCGUGCCAGCAGCCGCGGUAAUACGGAGGGUGCAAGCGUUACUCGGAAUCACAGGGCGUAAAGAGCGCGUAGGCGGGAUAGCAAGUCAGAUGUGAAAUCCUAGGGCUUAACCAUAGAACUGCAUUUGAAACUGUUAUUCUAGAGUAUGGGAGAGGUAGGUGGAAUUCUUGGUGUAGGGGUAAAAUCCGUAGAGAUCAAGAGGAAUACUCAUUGCGAAGGCGACCUGCUAGAACAUAACUGACGCUGAUGCGCGAAAGCGUGGGGAGCAAACAGGAUUAGAUACCCCAGUAGUC